AAAAAGUAUAUCAUAGACAUGUUUGAUCCGAGACGGAAGGUUCCAGAGUAAGUGACAACUAAGCAGAGAUCUUAAAGAUGUGGGAACACCUACAUGUCUAUGUUCAGAAGCUGCCUUGAUGCCACAUGCGGGAGGCUGGAAACGCUGAAGGAUGACCACUGCUCAGCAGCAGUCUACCAGUGAUGGAUGAGAGUUGGUGCACAAAUACCCCAGCUCCCUUGCCUCUCAGUUUGGAUAAUCCUGAAAAGACCCAGCAAGAAAUGAUUCCAAGAUCACCUAGCUGAUCUCAUGCUCUAUCUGGAUUUGAGUGAAGAUAUACAUAUUCACCAAGUCUUGACUCAGUCACCUUUUGUGCAGGUUAUUUCUGGACACAGUAAUCCUUCAGCAAUACAAUUACCAAGUUAUUCAACAUGGAAGGCUUUGCCAAGACAGUGGUGGCUGGGAUUUGACCCUCUAAGUGUGAGCUUCAGUUCUACAUGUUGGAAUAGAUCAUCUGGACCCUCUGGAUUCUGGUCCUGUACUGACCUUCAAGCUGUCUCUUUCAGCUUUCUGUGCUGAGGCAGAAAAGAGGAAAGCUGGACCACACCCAGCCAGGACUACACGUGCAGACAGCCAACUACAAGCCAGGAAGAAGGUCCUCACCAGAAACUGACCAUGCUGGCACCCUGAUUUCAGACUUCAGCCUCCAAUAGUGGUCAUCCAUUCCUUUAUUAGCAAAUAUUCAUGAAUGCCCACUAUGUGCAACACACGGUGCUUGGUGCAAGCAUACAGUGAUGAAUCAAGUAGAGAAGGCCCUGCCCUUAUGGAGCUUACAGCCUGGCUGUGUAAACAUCUUGGGAAUAGAGCAGUUGACUGGACAUCUCUCAUGUGCAGCAGCAGCAGGAAAAAGAACUUUGGACUUUAUCUGCGUUCAUCACCAUCCCUCAAAAACACAAGUAAUAGAAAAAGCUGAGAUAGAGUUACCCUGGGAGAAUCCAAGAAUAACUUUGGUAAGGCAUCACUUGGUGGGGAUACAAAGAUGGAAAGAGGAAGGCAAUAGAUUUUUGGAAAAGAAAAUAAACCUACAGUUAAAAGAAAAAAGAAAACAAUGAAAAUAGAAGCUGAGCUUAGCUGAGGAUAUGAAUAACGAAAAGCAACCACCUUACCGCAAAACAACUCUAAGAAGUAGGAUUAUCAUCACUCAAUUUACAGGCAUCCAUGUCCUCCAGGAUAUAAAGGAAGAAGUUGAGGGAUGGAUGCAGAGUAUACUAUUCUCCACCAUUACAAAUUGGGCACCUUUGCUUUUGAAUGAGUGACCACAGCCCUGGAAACUUGUAUGCUUUGCUAAUUGAGGGCAGAUGAGCCUCAGGUCAAUCCCCCAUCAAUUAUCCACUCAACAACAAUAAAAUGCUAACUUGUAUGCCCU
ensembl:lncRNA novel transcript